CCUACGGGAGGCAGCAGUGGGGAAUAUUGCACAAUGGGGGGAACCCUGAUGCAGCGACGCCGCGUGAGUGAAGAAGUAUUUCGGAAUGUAAAGUGCUAUCAGCAGGGAAGAAAAUGACGGUACCUGAGUAAGAAGCCCCGGCUAACUAUGUGCCAGCAGCCGCGGUAAUACGUAGGGGGCAAGCGUUAUCCGGAUUUACUGGGUGUAAAGGGAGCGUAGACGGUAAAUUAAGUCAGAUGUGAAAGCCCCAGGCGCAACCGAGGGACUGCUACGGAAACUGUACAGCUGGAGUGCUGGAGAGGAAAGCGGAAUUCCUAGUGUAGCGGUGAAAUGCGUAGAUAUUAGGAGGAACACCAGUGGCGAAGGCGACUUACUGGACCGUAACUGACGUUGAGGCACGAAAGCGUGGGGAGCAAACAGGAUUAGAUACCCGUGUAGUC
rnacentral:rRNA from 1 species